UGUUGCGAGGAGUGAAAGGGGCACACCUGUGGCAGGUUGCGUUCCCCAGGAAGCUGACUCCAGGGGAGAUGGGCGGGCCGGAAGUUCACUCGAGUUGCUCUCAGGAGCCGCUCUUGGGAGAGGAGAGGCAGGGCAGCAGGCUGGGUGAGAGGACAGAGGCCCCCCGGGUAGCUCUGCGUGGAGAAGACCCUUCAGCACUGUCCUCAGUUGGCCUGAGGCAGCCCUUCUGUCCAUCAGUCACUGCAGGCGGGCGGGCACACAGCUGCCCAGACCUCCAUUCUCGGAGGGGCGUCUGAGCGGCACUUCACAGAGGUGAAGAUGCUGAUGCUUGGGUUAAAUGAGGCUUCCAAGCUCAUCACUUUGUAAGGAGAACCGUGGCUUGAACUCACAUUGCACCAAGCAGAAGGCAACAUAAAGCUGGAUCCAAAUGGAAGUGGAAUCCAGUCAUGCUUCAGCUGUGUCCUAGAGGGCAAACCUGAGCCUGGAAGAGCAGAGCAGGAGUUGUAGAGGAAUCUUCAAGGAUACUGUGAACCAACCAAAACCAGACCUUUAUUCUUUUACUCCUGGGAAGCAGUAGCUUGCAUGUGGCCAUUUAGAAGGGUUAUAUCAUAAAUCCAGGUUGUGUGCAUUUUUGGAGGUGCUGGGAAGAUGGCUAAUGACACGCCUGGAGAAGCCUUUGAAGCUGUCUGCCCUUCCCCUACACUUUACCUGCCCUUCCCUACACCUCUCUUCUGUCUGGUUGUUCCUGAGUUAUAUCCUUUUAUAACAAUCCUGCAAUCUAUUUUAGGCAAAGAAUUGAAUCCAGAGAGGGAAAGUGACCUCUCUGUGGUACAUGGCAAGUUGGUGGUAGAGCUGAGAAGAGGAACUGGUUUCUGAAAUAAAUACCUAUUGUGUUGCAAAACAUCAAGUAAAAGUC